UACAGAGACUGCAAGCGUUAUUCGGAUUCACUGGGCGUAAAGGGUGCGCAGGCGGCCGAGUGUGUGAGGCGUGAAAGCCCGGGGCUUAACCCCGGAAUUGCACCUCAAACUACACGGCUAGAGCAUUGGAGAGGGUAGCAGAAUUCAUGGUGUAGCAGUGAAAUGCGCAGAUAUCGGGAGGAACACUGGUGGCGAAGGCGGUUCUCUGGGCCUGUACUGACGCUGAGGAGCGAAAGCGUGGGGAGCAAACAGG
rnacentral:rRNA from 1 species